GUUCUUAUCCCAAGCAUAAAAACUUAGCCGUAUUUGACACAACCUUUUUCAACUUUUGAUCUUCAGUGCUGUACAACUUUGUACUUUUUUUCGCUUUUCGAUCUUUUAUAUAUCUGGGCGUCACUGGUGAGUCUUGUGUGGACGAGGCGCGUUUUUGGCGUAUUAAAUUUUAAACCUGAUGCUUUUUGUUAUUCAUUAAUCAUGUGUUUCUUUGUCUAAUACGUUUUCCUAUGUAUUUGUAUUGUAGUCCUGUAAUAUUAUGUUGUCACUUCUAUGUUAUAUUUAACAUUGCCAUUAAAGUGCGAGGUUUGGCAUGCCACAAAACCAGGUUCAACCCACCAUUUUUUUCCUUUAAAAAUGUCCUGUACCAAGUCAGGAAUAUGGCCAUUGUUAUAUUAUAGUUCGUUUCUGUGUGUGUUACAAUUUAACGUUGCGUCGUUUGUUUUCUCUUAUUUUUGAGUGUAAAUUG
rnacentral:lncRNA from 1 species